ensembl:lncRNA LINC01102 long intergenic non-protein coding RNA 1102
GUGCGCAGAGAUGUUAUUUAUUAAUGAGUUAACUUUCUGCAUUCUCAUCGUCUUUCCUUUCUAGAGGAUGCUGCAAGCCCAGGGAAUGAAGACAUUUGGAGAAGAAGCGUUUACUGAAAGGAGAUUCCUGGGCUGGAGGAAAACCAUGAUCUACAGUUCAUGUUGACAGAUAUUGUAUUUUUGGUCCUAGAUCUGACUUUUGAAAUGACUUAUCACAAAUUCAAAUUUAGCAAUCAUGAGUGAAGUACCCACGAUGUGCUAAGCAUCUACCUCUGCAGAUAGAAGAACACUUACUGUUCCUGAGCAUGGGAGGGAAUAGAAGUUCCUGGGUCCUGGCCUCACCUCAUCAGGCACUGCCAAAUUUGACACCUCCUUCCUGUUCACGGCAGUCCUUUGCGAUAGGGUAUUAGAUGCCACCAAGUAGCUGCAUAACUCACCCAUUUGGUCAGAGCCUGGGUCUAAGCCAGGUCUGACAGACUCCAAAGCAAGCCCUGUUUACAGCAUGACUGGGAUCCAGUGGACGAGGGAACUGAGCUGUCAAAACUAAGUGACUUGAUUGAGGCCAUGCAGCUGGCGAGGGGAGGACCAGGAUCUGAACCCAACUGGGUCUCCCAAGCCUGGGCCACUGAACCAUUUCACCUCUUGGAAAAACUUAAUGGUCAGAGUGGCCCACCCAGUCCAUGGACAGCAUGGAGUGGUAUGGUGGAAGAGGAGGGAAGAAAACCUGUGUAUUGUAAGUCAUAUUCUUCUAUGGUGUGAAGGUUAACGUAAGUUUUAAGAAAGUUUUUUUUUUUAAUUUUAUUAUAUGAUCUUGCUCUAAAGGGAUGUAAAUUCAGAUGCUGAAUUGCACACAUCCUUUCUCUUUCAUAUUUUCAAUAUUGAACGUAAUUUCAAUAUUUAACAUAAAACAAUGAGUACAUUGUCUCCACCUCAUUGUUUUUGGGUGGUGUUUGUGAGGAGCCUGCGUUCUUUGGAAGGAAGACCUUUCAGAUGACCUGACCAGUCCUCCUCUUCAGAACCCGGAUGCUGGCGAAGCAGUUUGAAUUUUAUGCUUGUGAAAGGGCUCCGUUGAUGAUUUUGAUGUCUGCAGCUUUCCACCCGUAUGACCAGACACAUUCUCACCAGCUCCAUAUAUCAAGAUAAGGAGGGGAAACCUGGUAGCUUUUCCUUCUGUUAACUGCUGGCAUCAGCUGAGUGAUGCAGACAUUUCUCUAUUAAGAACUGAGCUGAGACUGAAGCUUCAUUUUGUAUGAGACUGUGCAGAGGUCGUCUAAAGUCUCUCCCAGGUGUGGUUAUUAAGAUCCUGGAUUUGAAACUGUGACCUACUGGUUUGCCAGAUGCCAAGAACAAAUGCUCUGAAAUUGAUUUGCCAAAAGACAUGAUGAGCUGCUCUAACUUGCCUGGGAAGAGUGGAAUAUUUAACCUGUGGGUGAGACUCCCUCUUGCUACCUAUCAGCUUUGCCACUGCUCUGAUAGAGAAACAUCUUGGGAGCAGAGUUGGUAAGAGUGAAUCAGACGUAUCUGCCGGAAUAGGACUCGUGGCACCUGCUUGUUCGAUCCCUCAUUUCCACCCCCUCUAUCCUUUGCCUAUUGUCAGUCAUUGUGGUUGGUCCAUUCAGAAGAAUCGUGAAUAUUCAUAGCCACCCUAAUUUACCAAUAUAUAUUCAAUAAUGUCAGAGAUCUGUACAUGUGAUUCCUGAGCUUAUUACAGUAACAAGUUUCUCCAAUGCUACUGGG